GGCAGAAGAACGACGUAUGAACCAACUAUACUAACUACGGCAGAAUUUGGAGCGGAAAAAGUUCGACACAAGUUCGAAUUCGGCAGAGCUUGUUGCGACGUUGGAACGACAACUGCGACAUUAGAGAGUUUGAGCAAAGCAAGAGAACGAAGUAGCACGACGAUGACGCAGUUGAAAUUUUUUGCCUGUCUUGCUUAGGGGUGAAGACAGAUUAGAGAUUCAUGUCUAGCUGUUUAUAUGAAUGCUGACCCAAAUUCUUACCCUGGUCAGGACAAAACAGCGAGACAUGAAUCCAUAUCCCGUCUUCGUUCGCGACGAAUAUUUUGGCAAAAUUCGUCGUAAACUUGGUAGUGCAUAGGCUCAGAUUCCAGCCGUUGGGCGAGUGCCGAGAACCCAACGGCUGGAAUCUGAGCCUACUGUACUGCACGAAGGCAGAAGAACAAAGACGGGAUAUAGUUUCAUGUCUCGCUGUUUUGUCUGCGUCAGGGCAGGAAUUAGGAUCAGUAUUCAUAAACAGCGACACAUGGGAAGACACGUUGAGCAACCACCAGUGACGUCCAACUCAGUAUGCGCAAGAUAAUUGUCAAGUACGCCGCCGUCUUAAUUCACUCGUACUUCGUUGUCUUGCUCAAACUCUCUAUUGAUUCACACGCCGCUCCACGUCAUGUGCCAAACCUAACUCAACUUUUUAAAAUUUGUUCUAGUACUUUCAGAUUAGCCAUGUUGUAAUUUAGAAAUAUAUAGGCUUAUUGGUUUUUGAAUUUUAUUUAGGUUUCCCUGGCGAAUGCGCUCCAACCUUGUCAAUAAAUUGUAUUUGGUACGCCGUUUGAAUCACUGCCUUACUUGCGUCACCUCCAGCGUCGCAUCUAAUACAAUAGAGACCUUACGAUUUUAGGACGGCAACGCGACAGCAACGGCUACCAAUACAAUAGAUCAUUGAAAAGAAUUGAAUAAUUACAACAUAUGAAUAAUUUACACAUUGUCCUCGCUCUGUUUACAACGUCAAAUCACAGAUUUUCACGUCUUCAUACAACGGCUGCAUUCCAAGUCACAACAAGUGCAACUUCAAACUGGGUUCAGCAGAACUCUUCCCAACUAUAAAACCCAUGUAUUCAACUUCUGAAACUGUAUUAAAUUCAUGCGAUUGAUAAUAUACGACGAACUAUCUUUACUACCAUUUAUUUGAAGGAGUUUGUUUUGGCCGUCGCCGUCGCGUUGCCGUCCUAAAAUCGUAAGGUAUCUAAUCAAGUUCGGCACAUGAAGAGUACGCCUCCUGAAACGGGGCCUGAAUUUACGCGAGAGUUGACUAGAAUAUAUACUGGUCAAACGGCAAGCAAAAACUCUCAUCAACUCUCAUUAAAAUUUAAUCCCCUCAAAAUUGACGACGGUUGAUGAGAGUGAAUGUGAGUACCAGGCCAAAACGUUAUUAGAACCAAAAUUUAUUUUCUUCCAUCAUUAUUUCCGAUUGCAGAGUUUGUCAGACUACUUCUAAUGAUGAACGGCUCACAGGCUCAGAAACGUGACUUUAUGGAAGAGUGAAGAACAACCGCUGGACAGAACGCGAAUGUCAAAGUGGAUACUUGAGAUACGAGAGACAUACACGUGGAGACGAUGAGUUUGACGAAUAAAUGAUGACAUGUGAGUGCCGGUAAGCCAGGUUUCCAUACAGGGGUGUAGAAGAGGGGGGCUCAGCAACACAGAAAAUAUCAUGAUUACUAGAUUACAACGAUAUCGAAGGAACUAGACCCAGUUCCGAAAUAUCAUACAGCCAGUGCUGUAAGUAACUUCGUUACAAGUAACGAAAUUACAAGUAAUCGUUAC